UUGGACAACUUAGCAAAUCAGGUACAGUUUCCAUACCUGCUCUCUGAUGACCGGGGCGAGUUGCGUGAAAUCGCAACGGAGAGAUACGGAGGAGACAAUC
ensembl:scaRNA